UUAACUCAAAUUCGUACGGAGUUGGAACGUUUGCCUACGUUUGCCGCUAGGGGUGCUAUUCGAACUGCAUACAUAUAAGAGUUA
rnacentral:pre_miRNA from 1 species